rnacentral:rRNA from 1 species
GACGAACGCUGGCGGCGUGCCUAAUACAUGCAAGUAGAACGCUGAAGAGAGGAGCUUACUCUUCUUGGAUGAGUUGCGAACGGGUGAGUAACGCGUAGGUAACCUGCCUUGUAGCGGGGGAUAACUAUUGGAGACGAUAGCUAAUACCGCAUAACAAUGGAUGACACAUGUCAUUUAUUUGAAAGGGGCAAUUGCUCCACUACAAGAUGGACCUGCGUUGUAUUAGCUAGUAGGUGAGGUAAUGGCUCACCUAGGCGACGAUACAUAGCCGACCUGAGAGGGUGAUCGGCCACACUGGGACUGAGACACGGCCCAGACUCCUACGGGAGGCAGCAGGAGGGAAUCUUCGGCAAUGGGGGCAACCCUGACCGAGCAACGCCGCGUGAGUGAAGAAGGUUUUCGGAUCGUAAAGCUCUGUUGUAAGUCAAGAACGGGUGUGAGAGUGGAAAGUUCACACUGUGACGGUAGCUUACCAGAAAGGGACGGCUAACUACGUG